UCCAGACUCCUACGGGAGGCAGCAGUGGGGAAUAUUGGGCAAUGGGCGCAAGCCUGACCCAGCAACGCCGCGUGAAGGAAGAAGGCUUUCGGGUUGUAAACUUCUUUUAAGAGGGAAGAGUAGAAGACGGUACCUCUUGAAUAAGCCACGGCUAACUACGUGCCAGCAGCCGCGGUAAUACGUAGGUGGCAAGCGUUGUCCGGAUUUACUGGGUGUAAAGGGCGUGUAGCCGGGCCGGCAAGUCAGAUGUGAAAUCCCAAGGCUCAACCUUGGAACUGCAUUUGAAACUGUUGGUCUUGAGUAUCGGAGAGGCAGGCGGAAUUCCUAGUGUAGCGGUGAAAUGCGUAGAUAUUAGGAGGAACACCAGUGGCGAAGGCGGCUUACUGGACUGUAACUGACGUUGAGGCUCGAAAGCGUGGGGAGCAAACAGGAUUAGAUACCCUCGUAC
rnacentral:rRNA from 1 species